CGAACGGGUGAGUAACACGUGAGCAACCUGCCCCAGGCUUUGGGAUAACCCCGGGAAACCGGGGCUAAUACCGAAUAUGACCUCCGAUCGCAUGGUUGGUGGUGGAAAGUUUUUCGGCUUGGGAUGGGCUCGCGGCCUAUCAGCUUGUUGGUGGGGUGAUGGCCUACCAAGGCGACGACGGGUAGCCGGCCUGAGAGGGCGACCGGCCACACUGGGACUGAGACACGGCCCAGACUCCUACGGGAGGCAGCAGUGGGGAAUAUUGCACAAUGGGCGGAAGCCUGAUGCAGCGACGCCGCGUGAGGGAUGACGGCCUUCGGGUUGUAAACCUCUUUCAGCAGGGACGAAGCGUAAGUGACGGUACCUGCAGAAGAAGCGCCGGCCAACUACGUGCCAGCAGCCGCGGUAAGACGUAGGGCGCGAGCGUUGUCCGGAUUUAUUGGGCGUAAAGAGCUCGUAGGCGGCUUGUCGCGUCGACUGUGAAAACCCGCAGCUCAACUGCGGGCCUGCAGUCGAUACGGGCAGGCUAGAGUUCGGUAGGGGAGACUGGAAUUCCUGGUGUAGCGGUGAAAUGCGCAGAUAUCAGGAGGAACACCGGUGGCGAAGGCGGGUCUCUGGGCCGAUACUGACGCUGAGGAGCG
rnacentral:rRNA from 1 species